UACGUAGGGGGCAAGCGUUGUCCGGAUUUAUUGGGCGUAAAGAGCGUGUAGGCGGCCUGAAAGGUCAGCUGUGAAAACUCGAGGCUCAACCUCGAGACGUCGGUUGAAACCAUCUGGCUAGAGUCCGGAAGAGGAGAGUGGAAUUCCCGGUGUAGCGGUGAAAUGCGCAGAUAUCGGGAAGAACACCCGUGGCGAAGGCGGCUCUCUGGGACGGUACUGACGCUGAGACGCGAAAGCGUGGGGAGCCGAACGAGG
rnacentral:rRNA from 1 species